rnacentral:tRNA from 1 species
AUUUAUAUAAUAUAAUUAGUAUAUUUGACUUCCAAUCAAAAAGUUUAAUAUUUUUAAUAUAAAUA